AUGAAGCCCAGCUUGCUGGGUGGAUUAGUGGCGAACGGGUGAGUAACACGUGGGUGAUCUGCCCUGCACUUCGGGAUAAGCCUGGGAAACUGGGUCUAAUACCGGAUAGGACCUUCUGCCGCAUGGUGGGGGGUGGAAAGGUUUUCCGGUGCAGGAUGGGCCCGCGGCCUAUCAGCUUGUUGGUGGGGUAACGGCCCACCAAGGCGACGACGGGUAGCCGGCCUGAGAGGGCGACCGGCCACACUGGGACUGAGACACGGCCCAGACUCCUACGGGAGGCAGCAGUGGGGAAUAUUGCACAAUGGGCGCAAGCCUGAUGCAGCGACGCCGCGUGAGGGAUGACGGCCUUCGGGUUGUAAACCUCUUUCAGUACCGACGAAGCGCAAGUGACGGUAGGUACAGAAGAAGCACCGGCCAACUACGUGCCAGCAGCCGCGGUAAUACGUAGGGUGCGAGCGUUGUCCGGAAUUACUGGGCGUAAAGAGCUCGUAGGCGGUUUGUCGCGUCGUCUGUGAAAACCCGCAGCUCAACUGCGGGCUUGCAGGCGAUACGGGCAGACUUGAGUACUGCAGGGGAGACUGGAAUUCCUGGUGUAGCGGUGAAAUGCGCAGAUAUCAGGAGGAACACCGGU
rnacentral:rRNA from 1 species